GGGGAAUUGGCUCAGUUGGUAGAGCAUCUGCUUUGCAAGCAGAGGGCCAUCGGUUCGAGUCCGAUAUUCUCCA
rnacentral:tRNA from 1 species